rnacentral:lncRNA from 10 species
CCCAGUCGUCCUACAUCAGCAGCGACAAUGAUUCGGAGCUCGAGGAUGCUGACAUAAAGAAGGAGCUGCAGAGUCUGCGGGAGAAGCACCUGAAGGAGAUCUCGGAGCUGCAGAGCCAGCAGAAGCAGGAGAUCGAAGCUCUGUACCGCCGCCUGGGCAAGCCACUGCCCCCCAACGUGGGCUUCUUCCACACGGCACCCCCCACUGGCCGCCGGAGAAAAACCAGCAAGAGCAAGCUGAAGGCAGGCAAGCUGCUAAAUCCCCUGGUGCGGCAGCUCAAGGUCGUGGCCUCCAGCACAGGGUCCUCCACCAGCAGCCUGGCCCCAGGCCCUGAGCCAGGCCCCCAGCCCGCCCUGCACGUCCAGGCGCAGGUGAACAACAGCAACAACAAGAAGGGUACCUUCACGGACGACCUGCACAAGCUGGUGGACGAGUGGACGAGCAAGACGGUGGGGGCCGCGCAGCUGAAGCCCACGCUCAACCAGCUGAAGCAGACCCAGAAGCUGCAAGACAUGGAGGCCCAGGCAGGCUGGGCUGCCCCUGGCGAGGCGCGGGCUGUGA